CCUACGGGGGACAGCAGUGGGGAAUAUUGCGCAAUGGGCGAAAGCCUGACGCAGCGACGCCGCGUGAGGGAUGAAGGUCUUCGGAUCGUAAACCUCUGUCAGCAGGGAAGAACGGUCACUGUUCUAAUCAGCCGUGAAUUGACGGUACCUGCAAAGGAAGCACCGGCUAACUCCGUGCCAGCAGCCGCGGUAAUACGGAGGGUGCGAGCGUUAAUCGGAAUUACUGGGCGUAAAGCGCUCGUAGGCGGUAUGUCAAGUCAAGGGUGAAAUCCCCGGGCUCAACGUGGGAACUGCCUUUGAAACUGGCAAACUGGAGUGUGUGAGAGGAUAGGGGAAUUCCAGGGGGAGGAGUGAAAUCCGUAGAUAUCUGGAGGAACAUCAGUGGCGAAGGCGACUAUCUGGCACAUAACUGACGCUGAGGAGCGAAAGCGUGGGUAGCAAACAGGAUUAGAUACCCCUUGUAGUC
rnacentral:rRNA from 1 species